rnacentral:rRNA from 1 species
GUGGGGAAUAUUGGACAAUGGGCGCAAGCCUGAUCCAGCAAUGCCGCGUGGGUGAAGAAGGCCUUCGGGUUGUAAAGCCCUUUUGUACGGAAAGAAAUCCUGGUGGUUAAUACCCGCCGGGGAUGACGGUACCGUAAGAAUAAGCACCGGCUAACUUCGUGCCAGCAGCCGCGGUAAUACGAAGGGUGCAAGCGUUAAUCGGAAUUACUGGGCGUAAAGCGUGCGUAGGUGGUUUCUUAAGUCUGUCGUGAAAGCCCUGGGCUCAACCUGGGAAUGGCGAUGGAUACUGGGAGGCUAGAGUGCGGUAGAGGAUGGCGGAAUUCCCGGUGUAGCGGUGAAAUGCGUAGAGAUCGGGAGGAACAUCUGUGGCGAAGGCGGCCAUCUGGACCAGCACUGACACUGAGGCACGAAAGCGUGGGGAGCAAACAGGAUUAGAAACCCCUGUAGUCC